CCUACGGGUGGCAACAGUGAGGAAUAUUGGUCAAUGGACGGAAGUCUGAACCAGCCAUGCCGCGUGCAGGAUGACGGCUCUAUGAGUUGUAAACUGCUUUUAUAUGAGAAUAAACAUCUCUACGUGUGGAUCUUUGCAUGUACCAUAUGAAUAAGCAUCGGCUAACUCCGUGCCAGCAGCCGCGGUAAUACGGAGGAUCCGAGCGUUAUCCGGAUUUAUUGGGUUUAAAGGGUGCGUAGGCUGUUUGUUAAGUCAGCGGUGAAAUAUCGGGGCUCAACCCCGUAAUUGCCGCUGAUACUGGAGGACGUGAGAGUAGUUGAGGUAGGCGGAAUGUAUGGUGUAGCGGUGAAAUGCUUAGAUAUCACGCAGAACUCCGAUUGCGAAGGCAGCUUACUAAGCCAUAACUGACACUGAGGCACGAAAGCGUGGGUAGCAAACAGGAUUAGAUACCCGAGUAGUC
rnacentral:rRNA from 1 species